AUGACAAAUCAGAAACAACUGACAGACCCCCUUGGCUGUCCAAAGUCAAGCUUAAGCUACCAUUGGUACAUGUGGGACACAGGAAGUGAUGUAACAAAAGUCUAUAUAUUCGCGUCACUUCCUCUUGCCAUGCUCUUUUUGGCGAUGGAGGAGUUGAGUUUGGGGUCUCUCUCUCAGAGAUGCUGGGUUCGAAUUGCAGUGUGGCUCGUUGGUGUCUUGGUGUCUGAGCAUGGGUCAGGAGUGUUCAUAUCUUGUACCAAGCUUAUACCUAAUUUACAGGGUAGGUUUGAGUCCAUGAAAAUAAGAAAAUGCAUUCUAACUAAAUUCUCUGAAGAAUUAUAUGUCACUCCCAGGGAAAAACUGACGUUUGUUCAAGAUGUUUGA
ensembl:lncRNA